UACGUAGGCAGUAAGCGUUGUUCGGAGUUACUGGGCGUAAAGGGUGCGUAGGCGGCUACGCACGUCCGUUGUGAAAUCGCUCGGCUCAACUGGGCGGGGUCAGCGGAUACGGUGUAGCUGGAGCAAGCUAGGGGGCAAUGGAAUUCCCGGUGUAGUGGUGGAAUGCGUAGAUAUCGGGAGGAACACCAGUGGCGAAGGCGGUUGCCUGGAGCUUUGCUGACGCUGAGGCGCGAAAGCGUGGGGAGCAAACAGG
rnacentral:rRNA from 1 species